rnacentral:rRNA from 1 species
AUUGAACGCUGGCGGCAGGCCUAACACAUGCAAGUCGAGCGGGGACUUCGGUCCUAGCGGCGGACGGGUGAGUAACGCGUGGGAACGUGCCCUUUGCUUCGGAAUAGCCCCUGGAAACGGGAGGUAAUACCGGAUGUGCUCGAGAGAGGAAAGAUUUUCGGUCAAAGGAUCGGCCCGCGUUGGAUUAGGUAGUUGGUGGGGUAAUGGCCUACCAAGCCGACGAUCCAUAGCUGGUUUGAGAGGAUGAUCAGCCACACUGGGACUGAGACACGGCCCAGACUCCUACGGGAGGCAGCAGUGGGGAAUCUUAGACAAUGGGCGCAAGCCUGAUCUAGCCAUGCCGCGUGAGCGAUGAAGGCCUUAGGGUUGUAAAGCUCUUUCGUGGGGGAAGAUAAUGACGGUACCCCCAAGAAGAAGCCCCGGCUAACUCCGUGCCAGCAGCCGCGGUAAU